AACGAACGUUGGCGGCGUGGCUUAGGCAUGCAAGUCGAACGCGAAUCCCUGGGCAACUGGGGAGGAGAGUGGCGAAAGGGGCAGUAAGGCGUGGGUAACCUACCCUCCGGGCCGGGAUAGCUUCGGGAAACUGAAGGUAAUACCGGGCGACGCAGCGAGAUCGCAUGGUCUUGCUGCCAAAGGUCCGCCGCCGGGGGAGGGGCUCACGUGGUAUUAGCUAGACGGCGGGGUAACGGCCCACCGUGGCAAAGAUGCCUAGCAGGUGUGAGAGCACGAACUGCGCCACUGGAACUGGGACACUGGCCAGACACCGACGGGUGGCUGCAGUCGAGGAUCUUCGGCAAUGGGCGCAAGCCUGACCGAGCGACGCCGCGUGUGCGAUGAAGGCCUUCGGGUUGUAAAGCACUGUCGAGGGGGAGGAAGCCGCAAGGUUGACCUAUCCCUGGAGGAAGCACGGGCUAAGUUCGUG
rnacentral:rRNA from 1 species